rnacentral:lncRNA from 1 species
GCACGAGCGAGGCAAAAAAAAAACAUGGCAGGAGGGUGUGCAAAAAGAAAAAGACAUAAAUCAUGUUACAAAAUGCAAAGGAAGAUUUGCGUUCAGCCACAUUUUGGCAUUUAUGCAACUUGAUGCAACAUACAGCUGCAAACAUGGAGACAUGGAUUAUGCUGAAUGGAAUGGAUUUGACAAUUUACUAUGGACGUAUUUGAAUUUGUCAGGAAACAAAGACACAAUCCGAUUUCAAUGUAUUGUCUGUAUCUUUCACAGAUGCCAACAUUUUAGAGCAACCUGAUAAAACUACAAGGAGCGUUUGAUGCUCAAAGUAUUUGUUUUUUGUUGGUCGUCAUCAGCUGCGAUUAAACAUAACCUGUAUAAUAUUCUUGUCAAAUUAUUCGAAAUACAUCCAAUCUUUAUGCUGUGAAUCAGUCUUGCAUAUUGUGCAUGAAGUAAAAAAAAAAAUGUAAAUUCUACUGAGUGCGUUGCUCGUGUUACUCACUCCCCAGUCACAGUCUUCUUGCAGCAGCAGAAGCAGGCCAGUGCAGCCAGGAGGAGCAGCAGGAGCAGAGGGAUGCCGAUGCCCAGAACCAGGCCCAGAACAAGGUCCAGCUCCACAUCGCCCCCCUUGCCUCGCCCUGGAACAGGCCAGUCAAUGUUAAUAGACAGUACUCUCAGGACACUCUCCACAGGUGAACUGGUCGGGCUCUGUCUUCGACUGGCACUUCACCCCUCGGAAGCAGGGCUUGCCUUGACAUAUGUCUGAGGUGUUCCCACAGAACUUUCCACUGAAGCCCUUUGGACACAGGCAGCCGACCACCUGGGAGCAGAGAGGAAGACGGACACAGUUUAACAUUUAGCAUACUGUAAGUCCAUAACUGAUUCUACAUUCAGAGCUUCUUAGACAGGAGAAUUUUUAUUUGUAUUAAAAGUGCUAUAUAAAUAAAGUCUGAUUGAUUGAUUGAAAUGAUGCAUCGAGGUAUUUUAGUUAGUAAAACGUUAUUCAUCAGGCUUUUAAGUUACUAGGGUCAUCCAUGAAAUUGUUUUUUUAAUGAACAGACCAAGUGCAAGAUUAAAUUACCGGCAUGGGUCCACAUUGUGAUUUAGCUUGUUUGUAUUCACAUUUAUUUCAUAUCAUUUC